rnacentral:rRNA from 1 species
CGGACCAAAGGGGGCUUCGGCUCCCGCCCAGAGAGUGGCCUAAGCGAGAUUAGCUUGUUGGUGAGGUAAAGGCUCACCAAGGCGACGAUCUCUAGCUGUUCUGAGAGGAAGAUCAGCCACACUGGAACUGAGACACGGUCCAGACUCCUACGGGAGGCAGCAGUGGGGAAUAUUGCACAAUGGGGGAAACCCUGAUGCAGCCAUGCCGCGUGUGUGAAGAAGGCCUUCGGGUUGUAAAGCACUUUCAGUUGUGAGGAAAGUUUAGCGGUUAAUACCCGUUAGAUGUGACGUUAGCAACAGAAGAAGGACCGGCUAACUCCGUGCCAGCAGCCGCGGUAAUACGGAGGGUCCGAGCGUUAAUCGGAAUUACUGGGCGUAAAGCGCACGCAGGCGGUUUGUUAAGCUAGAUGUGAAAGCCCCGGGCUCAACCUGGGAAUAGCAUUUAGAACUGGCAGACUAGAGUCUUGGAGAGGGGAGUGGAAUUUCUGGUGUAGCGGUGAAAUGCGUAGAUAUCAGAAGGAACAUCAGUGGCGAAGGCGACUCCCUGGCCAAAGACUGACGCUCAUGUGCGAAAGUG